rnacentral:rRNA from 1 species
UACGAAGGGGGCGAGCGUUGUUCGGAUUUACUGGGCGUAAAGGGCGCGCAGGCGGUGAUUUUUGUCAGGCGUGAAAGCCCCGGGCUCAACCUGGGAACUGCGCUUGAAACGGGAUUGCUAGAGAUCGGGAGAGGAGAGUGGAAUUCCCAGUGUAGAGGUGAAAUUCGUAGAUAUUGGGAAGAACACCGGUGGCGAAGGCGGCUCUCUGGACCGAUACUGACGCUGAGGCGCGAAAGCGUGGGGAGCAAACAGG